rnacentral:lncRNA from 1 species
AUGCAGCCUUUUCCUAUGUCCUGUGUCCUGUGGCCUCUGUCCUAUAGCCUGUGUCUUGUUCCCUCUUUCCUUCAGCCUGUGUUGUGUAGCAUGUGUCAGUGUCCUGUAGCUUACGGCCUGUAUCCUUUGUUCUGUAGCUCUGUCCUGUGUACCAUAGCCUCUGUCCUGGAGCCUCUGUCCUGUGACCUGUGUCCUAUGUUGUAUAGCCUGUGUCCUGAGUCCUGUAGCCUGUCCCUGUGUCCUGUAGCCUGUCCCUGUGUCCUGUAGCCUUUGUCCUUGUCUGUAGCCUGUAACCUGUGUCCCAUAGCCUGUGUCCUGUGUUUGGUAUUCUGUGUCCUAUAUCCUGUGUCCCAUAUCAUCUGGGCUAUGUCCUGUGUCCUGUAGCCUGUGGCCUCUGUGCUGCAGCCUGUGUCCUGUGGUCUAUGUCCUGUGUCUUGAGUCCUGUAGCCUAUGUCUUCUGUCCUGUGUUCGGGGUCCUGUAGCCAGUGUAUUGUGUCUGAUAGUCUAUUUCCUUUGUCCUUUUUACUAUAGCCUAUGUCCUGUAUCCUGUGUGAUGUCGCUGUGUCCUGUGCUUUAGCCUCUGUCCUGUGUAUGUGUCCUGUGUCCUAUGUCUUGUAUGCUGUGUUCUAUAUCCUGUGAUCUAUAGGCUAUAACCUUGUUCCAUAGCCUGUGUUCUAACCUGUGUCCUGAGUGGUUCCCUCACACUGUGUGGUCUAGCCUGUGUCCUGUGUCGUGUAGUCUGUGGCCUCUGUGCUGUGUCAUUUAUCUUUGUCUUGUAGUCUGUGGCCUGUGUCCUUUUGUCUAUAUCCUGUAUCCUGUAUCCUGUGUUCUAUGUUGUGUAGCCUGUGUCCUAUGUCUUGUAGCCUCAGGCCUAUGUAUCCAACCUGUGUUCUGUGGCCUCUGUCGUCUAGCUGGUGUCCUGUGUCCUGAGCCAGUGUCCUGUGUCCUGAGCUGUGGCCUGUAUUCUUUGUCCUAGGGCUGACUUCCUCUCUGCUGUAGCCUGUGUACUGUAUACUGAAGCCGGUGUCUUGUACCUGUGGACAAUGUCCUGUAGUAUGUGUCCUGUGUCCUAUGUCCUGUGGCCUGAGGCCUAUGUCCUGUGUCUUGUGUCCCAUAGCCUGUGUCUUAUGUCCUGUGUUCUGUGUCCUGUAGCCUGUGUCCUGUGUCCCAUAGCCUGUGUCUAAUGUCCUGUGCUCUGUGUCCUGUAGCCUGUGUCCUGUGUCCCAUAGCCUGUGUCUUAUGUCCUGUGUUCUGUGUUCUGUGGCCU